AAAAAGAAAUACACAACUUAAAAACAAUGGAAAAAGUAUAUUAAGAUUUAAACAUCUAUCUUAAAAUGUAAAAUAUAGAUAUUACGCAAAUAGAAAGUACAAGAAAAGUAAAUACACAAUUAAAAAAAUGGAAAAAGUACAUUAAUAUUUAAACAUCUAUCUUAAAAUGUAAAUCAAUCUUAAAAUAUAAAUUUAUUAGUAAAUAGAAAGUAUAAGAAAUAGAAAUACACAAUAUAAAGAAAAAUAAAUAAUAAGUAAAUAUAUAAUAUAAUCCUGAAAGAUGACACGUGGCAUAAAAUACAGUUUUACAUUUUAAUAUUACUUAUUUUCGAAAAUUUAUAAAAAAUAUGUAAACAUACAGCAUAAAAAAAUUGAAAAACUACAUUAAACAUAUGUAAGAUUACUAUUUUUCACUUAAAAAAAAAGACGGUCUAUCUCCAUAAUGUAACAUUACCGUUUUAUAAAAAAAACAAAAAACAUUAUAUAUAAUUUCGAAAAUAAUAAAUAUAUGUAAAACAUACAACAUAAAAAUGGAAAUACUACAUUAAACAUAUGUAAAAUUACCAUUUUACAUUUUUAUUUAAGAAAAUAAUAUGUAAACAUACAACAAAAAAAAUUGAAAAACUACAUUAAACAUAUGUAAGAUUACCAUUUUCACUAAACAAAAAGACGGCUUAUCUCCAUAAUGUAACAUUACUGUUUUGUAAAAAAAAUAUUAUAUAUAAUUUCGAAAAUAAUAAAUAAUAUGUAAACAUACAAUAUAAAAAAUGGAAAUACCACAUUAAACAUAUGUAAAAUUACCAUUUUACAUUUAAAAAUAACAAUAAUAUGUAAACAUACAACAUAAAAAAAAUAGAAAAACUACAUUAAACAUAUGUAAGAUUACCCUUGUUCACUAAAAAAACGGGUUAUCUUCAUAAUGUAACAUUACCAUUUUAUAAAAAAAAGAAAAAAAAAACAUAAAUAUAACUAUUUGACUAUUUGUCCAAGUUCUUCUAUUAAACAUUGCCGUUUUACAUUAAAAAUGGAAAAAUACGUACAAAUUUAAACAUCUAUCUUAAAAUAUAAAAUAUAGACAUUAACUAAAUAUAAAGUAUAAGAAAGAGAAAUACUCAAUAUAUAGAAAAAUAAAUAAUAAGUAAAUAUUAUAAAUAUAUAAAUAUACGAAUUAUAUAUACAAUAACAAGUAAAUGCACAAUUUUAAAAAAAUGGAAAGAGUACAUUAAAUAUUAAACAUCUAUCUUAAAAUGUAAAAUAUAGAUAUUAAGUAAAUAGAAAGUAUAAGAAA
rnacentral:lncRNA from 1 species